rfam:Thioalkalivibrio nitratireducens DSM 14787, complete genome.
ACAGGCGCGUUUGGAUGUUGCUGAGUUCAUCAAGUUACUGUGAAACGGAAUGGAACAAGGCAGGUUAAGCGUAGGCAUAGAAUCCUGUAGGCCGCAGGGGUGAUCGCGCACCCUCAAGUGCUGGUACAGCUUCGACAAGCUCAGUUCCGGCCGCUGAGGGUUUAAACUGCACCGAAGGCAACACAGAAGCACCCGUCAAGGCGAGGGUGUGGAGGUCCGGCGGAGUCCAUAGGCCG